GAUCUUUGGGUUGGAUUGGGGCAAUUUGGGUUGUCCUGGAAGAAUGGUGAUGGAAGUUUGGAAUCAAUUGGGAAUAAUUGGAUGUUCUCAGCUGGUGGUACGGAAUUCAUGGUGCGUAAGGAAGAACUUCAGGGUGAGAAAGGAGCAUUUGAGGGUAACUGAUGUUAUCCAAGGGGAACUGAUGUCAUCUACGUGGACUUCCAUGAUGUCUUUGACAAGGUCUCACACAACUCCCUCAUCCCUCAAUUGGAGAGAUAUGGAUACGAGCAUAGGGCUGUUCUGGAGAGAAGGAAUUGCUUGGAAGGUCACAGCCAGAGGGCUGUGACGGGAUGGAGUGCAGCUGCAAACCCAGUGUGCACAAAGGGAGGUCUGAGGAGCACCUCCGAGGUUGUCUUCUUCAUCUUCUUUGUUGAUGACUGAGACUUCCAGAUGAGUGCUCAUCCCUCCCCCAUCCCUUCUCCAGUGCUGUGGGCUGACCCUGGAACUCCUCGAAGCAGACCUUCAAAACAGAGAGGUGAUCUGUCUGUUUCCUCUCUACCUCUCUGAGUCUCAUUCUUUCUUCAUCUUUCCUCUCCUUCUCAUCCUCCCUUGGCAGCAGCAGGAUCUGGCACUCCCUGCAGCUGGAGACCUGCACGGCCACAUUUCUGGGCAGGCCCUCUCUCUGGGUCGCCACAGUCUUCUUGGGGCAAGCCCGCUGCCUGGUAGAGACCAUGUUCAAACUGGAGGUCUCAGGGACUGUCCGUAGGAGAGCGGGUCUCCUGAGCAAAGACAAAAGCAACAAAAGAAACACUCACGUGUCCUGCCACAAGAGCCAGCUCCCACACCUGCUGCUGCAGUAUUGUAUGGGCAGCGUGGGUUGUGCUCUGUCAUGGUUUUAUGAUUUGUGGUUAUCAGUAUUCCACAUCACAACAUCAUGCGGUGUACUGGGAGUUAAAGAGCAAAUGCUUUAGUUCCGGGUACCUGUCUGGAAGAGAAGAAGAACUACGUUCCCCAAGAGCCUUUUUGAGUACUGUUAUUAUUCCUGCUCAAGAGAACAGAUAUAAAGGCUCAGGUCAUCUGACUCGCCCUCUUCUCGUCUCACCGUGUUCCCUGUCGGAUCGGCUCACUGCUGCUGCUCCCGACUGCACGCAAGGCUUCAGUAUUAGUGUAAGGCCUUUGGCUCUCAGACAUUCUUUCUCUCAAUUAUUGUUGAUUUAUAUUGUAUUAUAGUGUGUUAUUUACAUUCCA
rnacentral:lncRNA from 1 species